rnacentral:rRNA from 1 species
GACGUAGGGCGCGAGCGUUGUCCGGAUUUAUUGGGCGUAAAGAGCUCGUAGGCGGCUUGUCGCGUCGUCCGUGAAAACUUGGGGCUCAACCCCAAGCUUGCGGUCGAUACGGGCAGACUGGAGUACUGCAGGGGAGACUGGAACUCCUGGUGUAGCGGUGGAAUGCGCAGAUAUCAGGAGGAACACCGGUGGCGAAGGCGGGUCUCUGGGCCAUUACUGACACUGAGAAGCGAAAGCAUGGGGAGCGAACAGG